rnacentral:lncRNA from 1 species
UGGGGCCUCACCAGAUGCAGAUGCUGGUGCCACGCUUCCUGUACAGCCUGCAGAGCCAUGGCUGCACAAACCUUUCUUCCUCAUAAAUCACCCAGCCUCGGGUGUUCCUUUCUAGCAACACACACGGACUGAGCCGGAUGACAUGAAGCAGCUGUUCCCGCCUCCUCCUGGCACCUCCCUGACUCACGCACUUGGUGCGUGGAGGGGUCGUGAGCGGGCACAGGCAGCCACUUCGCUGCUUGCCUCAUCAGCCUCACAGUUCCCCACAGGGCAGCCCGUGGGUCCUGAGAUGAGCAAGUCCACAUCUGAUUUAGGAAAUGAAGAGUUUCUCGGUGGCCAACGUGGUCAGGAGGAGAAUGAAAAUAAACUCAGUCUAUGCCACCGAGGGCACGUCAGGCAACAGCCCCCGCCCUCCUGGUCUGGCUGCCUCAAGGAAUGUUCCAGGGCACGUGAGUCUCACCUGCGGCCUUAGAAGGUAGCACCCCACUCAGACGCAAUUUGAACCCCAUGAUCACAGCCGCCCAGACCCCACUCAGACGUAGUUCAGACCCUGGAUCACAGCCGCCCAGACCCCACUCAGACGUAGUUCAGACCCUGGAUCACAGCCGUCCAGACCCCACUCAGAUGUAGUUCAGACCCUGGAUCCGUCCAGACCCCACUCAGACGCAGUUCGGACCCUGGAUCACAGCCGUCCAGACCCCACUCAGACGCAGUUUGGACCCUGGAUCACAGCCGUCCAGACCCCACUCAGACGCAGUUCGGACUCUGGAUCCGUCCAGAUCCCACUCAGACGUAGUUCAGACCCUGGAUCACAGCCAUCCAGACCCCACUCAGAUGUAGUUCAGACCCUGGAUCACAGCCAUCCAGACCCCACUCAGAUGUAGUUCAGACCCUGGAUCCGUCCAGACCCCACUCAGACGUAGUUCAGACCCUGGAUCACAGCCGUCCAGACCCCACUCAGAUGUAGUUCAGACCCUGGAUCCGUCCAGACCCCACUCAGACGCAGUUCAGACCCUGGAUCACAGCCGUCCAGACUCCACUCAGACUCAGUUCAGACCCUGGAUCACAGCCGUCCAGACCCCACUCAGACGCAGUUCAGACCCUGGAUCACAGCCGCCCAGACCCCACUCAGAUGUAGUUCAGACCCUGGAUCACAGCCGUCCAGACCCCACUCAGACGCAGUUCAGACCCUGGAUCACAGCCGUCCAGACCCCACUCACACUCAGUUCAGACCCUGGAUCACAGCCGCCCAGACCCCACUCAGACGCAGUUCAGACCCUGGAUCACAGCCGCCCAGACCCCACUCAGACGCAGUUCAGACCCUGGAUCACAGCCGCCCAGACCCCACUCAGACGCAGUUCAGACCCUGGAUCACAGCCGUCCAGACCCCACUCAGACGCAGUUCGGACCCUGGAUCACAGCCGCCCAGACCCCACUCAGACGCAGUUCAGACCCUGGAUCCGUCCAGACCCCACUCAGACGCAGUUCGGACCCUGGAUCACAGCCGUCCAGACCCCACUCAGACGCAGUUCAGACCCUGGAUCACAGCCGUCCAGACCCCACUCAGACGCAGUUCGGACCCUGGAUCACAGCCGUCCAGACCCCACUCAGACGCAGUUCGGACCCUGGAUCACAGCCGCCCAGACCCCACUCAGACGCAGUUCAGACCCUGGAUCCGUCCAGACCCCACUCAGACGCAGUUCGGACCCUGGAUCACAGCCGCCCAGACCCCACUCAGACGCAGUUCAGACCCUGGAUCCGUCCAGACCCCACUCAGACGUAGUUCAGACCCUGGAUCACAGCCGUCCAGACCCCACUCAGACGCAGUUCGGACCCUGGAUCACAGCCGCCCAGACCGCACUCAGAUGUAGUUCAGACCCUGGAUCACAGCCGUCCAGACCCCACUCAGACGCAGUUCAGACCCUGGAUCACAGCCGCCCAGACCGCACUCAGAUGUAGUUCAGACCCUGGAUCACAGCCGUCCAGACCCCACUCAGACGCAGUUCAGACCCUGGAUCACAGCCGUCCAGACUCCACUCAGACGUAGUUCAGACCCUGGAUCACAGCCGUCCAGACCCCACUCAGACUCAGUUCAGACCCUGGAUCCGUCCAGACCCCACUCACACUCAGUUCAGACCCUGGAUCACAGCCGCCCAGACCCCACUCAGACGCAGUUCAGACCCUGGAUCACAGCCGUCCAGACCCCACUCAGACGUAGUUCAGACCCUGGAUCACAGCCGCCCAGACCACACUCAGAUAUAGUUCAGACCCUGGAUCACAGCCGUCCAGACCCCACUCAGACGCAGUUCAGACCCUGGAUCACAGCCGCCCAGACCGCACUCAGAUGUAGUUCAGACCCUGGAUCACAGCCGUCCAGACCCCACUCAGACGCAGUUCAGACCCUGGAUCACAGCCGUCCAGACUCCACUCAGACUCAGUUCAGACCCUGGAUCACAGCCGUCCAGACCCCACUCAGACGCAGUUCAGACCCUGGAUCACAGCCGCCCAGACCGCACUCAGAUGUAGUUCAGACCCUGGAUCACAGCCGUCCAGACCCCACUCAGACGCAGUUCAGACCCUGGAUCACAGCCGUCCAGACCCCACUCAGACGCAGUUCGGACCCUGGAUCACAGCCGUCCAGACCCCACUCAGACGCAGUUCGGACCCUGGAUCACAGCCGCCCAGACCCCACUCAGACGCAGUUCAGACCCUGGAUCACAGCCGUCCAGACCCCACUCAGACGCAGUUCGGACCCUGGAUCACAGCCGUCCAGACCCCACUCAGACGCAGUUCGGACCCCGGAUCACAGCCGCCCAGACCCCACUCAGACGCAGUUCAGACCCUGGAUCACAGCCGCCCAGACCCCACUCAGACGCAGUUCAGACCCUGGAUCACAGCCGCCCAGACCCCACUCAGAUGUAGUUCAGACCCUGGAUCACAGCCGCCCAGACCCCACUCAGAUGUAGUUCAGACCCUGGAUCACAGCCGUCCAGACCCCACUCAGACGCAGUUGGGACCCUGGAUCACAGCUGUCCGUCCGCCCGAGCAGAUUCUUGUCCAGGUGUUUUUCCACUUGCAGCUCCGCGCUGGGCAGCUUCAGGCCUGUUACAGCGACGGUGCGGCUUCCCUGCCUGGGUUGUUGGGACGGAAGGGAUUCCACCCUGGGGCGGUGUGGGGUGGCUUCCCUGCUCUCCCUGCUCUCUGCGUUCCCACGGUGCAGGAUGGCGGCGUUGAGAGCCAGAAACGAAACCCUGAGAAGCAGAAGCCGGGCGUCCUGCCCGCCCUCCUCUACCAGGCCUCAUCUGGAGGGCUGCGCCAGGUCCUUCCAACUUCAAAGAGUUGCCUGUGAAGGGCGUCCUCCAGGUGGGUCUGCAGUGCAGUCAAGGCCUCCUGCAAUUAAUAUGCUGGGAACACAUUUUAAAUAGCUCCCUCCUCCCUUGAAUAGCAGACGGGGACAACAAGCCUGUUAUUCAGUAUUCCAUUUUUGAUAGCUCAUUGUAUCUAAAAAGAGAUCAAUUAAAGCUCUCAGAAAGCUCUCCAGCUUAAUUGAAGGACAAUUUAGACAUUGCAGUAACGGCAGAUCUGCCGUCCAUUGCCGCAUUUAUUCGGGCUGGGAGCUAUUGGCGUCUCCCACACACCCUCGCAGAUGAAGAGAUUUCAACUGGAAAGGAAACGCUACCAUCAGAGGAAAGAUAAAUUGUCACCAACUUCAUUCUUCAACGGAUAAAGGGAGCUUUGGAAAUAAAAAAUAGACCCGAACCAUGAUGUGGUGGAAUUAUCUGUGCCUGUGCUCUCCUGAGCAGCCGGGCCUGCGUUCCUUCUUCUUCCCUGUGAAGGGGCAGCGCUGGGCCCGCUUAUUAGUGCAACAGCAAAGACUCAUUAAGUUUACAGCCCGCCCGUGACGUGAGGCAGCUCUGGCCAGAAAUCUCAAGUUCAUCCCAUCAAGUCAAUUUUGUCUGUAUUUUAAGAACUUAUCUCUUGCAAAAUGGGACCUUAACAUGUUUGUGAUGGUCCACAGAUAGCUCUUACUGAAAGCGAGAAUGGCAGGUGACCAAAAAAAAAAAAAAACAAACAAAAAAAAAAACACACAAAAUGGUGACCUCAGGGACGUGAUGAAAGGGCAAUGAUGACUUCACUGUGUGUUUUCCUGACCGUGGAGUAGAGCCGUCCCAGGCAGACUCUCUGGGCCCUGCUCAGGACGGUCAUGAAACCCCAUGCUCUUGUUAUGUGAAUAUUGAAAGCAACGCCAGGGUCUGGGAGGGCAGUGGGAUGAGCCUGGCCUGGGGCAGGUGGCACCAGGGCUGCUGAGUUUCCAGGGGCACUGGCUGGUGAGUGGCCACAGCCCCUCCCGUUGGUCACCACCUGGUGGGCAGCAGCAUGAAGCCCCCGGGGGUGCGGAGUGUUGGGCUGUGUGCCACCUUCGGGGGCUCUGAUGAGCAGCUCCACUCCUUGGCCCAGGGCAGGCUUCUCAGGAGCAGGCUUGGGGGUCUGUGGCUUUUCACACGGGACGUGGACUAGCUGCUUGCCUGAGAGACCACCCUUCUGGAUUCCAGAGGACCCAGCCAGAGUCGUCACGGCAGGGUCUGCAGGGUUGGAGAAGGCUCUGUUGGGGCCGGGCACAGCAGGUGGUGGCAGGAGGAUAAUGCCGGGGCCUGGACAGGGGGUACAGGGGCGGGAAUGGAUGCACAGGUACAGACCCUGCUCUUACGUCUAGGAGGCGGGUAUAGUCAAUGCGAUGUGUAAUGUGUACAUACAGUGUGAAAUGUAUGUAGCAUGUAAAGUACACAUAAUAAAGUUUAUAUGAUUUGUAAAGUACAAAUGCUAUGUCAAGUGUACAUACCACAUAAAGUCUAUAUAACAUGUAGGGUGUAUAUGAUAUGUAAAGAGUAUGUAAUAUGUCAAGUAAACAAAAUACGUAUG